rnacentral:tRNA from 1 species
GGCCCCGUAGCUCAGCUGGUAGAGCGUGCGCGUACAAAGCGUAGGCGGCGUCCAUGCGUGGGUUCGAAUCCCACCGAGGCUA